rnacentral:rRNA from 1 species
AUAUUGCACAAUGGGCGCAAGCCUGAUGCAGCCAUGCCGCGUGUAUGAAGAAGGCCUUCGGGUUGUAAAGUACUUUCAGCGGGGAGGAAGGUGUUGUGGUUAAUAACUGCAGCAAUUGACGUUACUCGCAGAAGAAGCACCGGCUAACUCCGUGCCAGCAGCCGCGGUAAUACGGAGGGUGAAAGCGUUAAUCGGAAUUACUGGGCGUAAAGCGCACGCAGGCGGUUUGUUAAGUCAGAUGUGAAAUCCCCGGGCUCAACCUGGGAACUGCAUUUGAAACUGGCAAGCUUGAGUCUCGUAGAGGGGGGUAGAAUUCCAGGCGUAGCGGUGAAAUGCGUAGAGAUCUGGAGGAAUACCGGUGGCGAAGGCGGCCCCCUGGACGAAGACUGACGCUCAGGUGCGAAAGCGUGGGGAGCAAAC